rnacentral:rRNA from 1 species
CCUACGGGUGGCUGCAGUGGGGAAUAUUGCACAAUGGGGGAAACCCUGAUGCAGCGACGCCGCGUGAGUGAAGAAGUAAUUCGUUACGUAAAGCUCUAUCAGCAGGGAAGAAAAUGACGGUACUUGCGUACGAAGCCCCGGCUAACUACGUGCCAGCAGCCGCGGUAAUACGUAGGGGGCAAGCGUUAUCCGGAUUUACUGGGUGUAAGGGGAGCGUAGACGGUGCGCCAAGUCUGGAGUGAAAUGCCGCGGCUUAACUGCGGAACUGCUUUGGAAACUGGCGAACUUGAGUGCGGGAGGGGUAAGCGGAAUUCCUAGUGUAGCGGUGAAAUGCGUAGAUAUUAGGAGGAACACCAGUGGCGAAGGCGGAUUACUGGACCGUAACUGACGUUGAGGCUCGAAAGCGUGGGGAGCAAACAGGAUUAGAUACCCGGGUAGUC